UUACACUCUCGCGGUACAUUGACGUUAUCAACCUGUCAGCGCAGCAAGAAGUCGAACACACGUAUUUGCGGGCGCGCGCCUCCGUCCUCGUGAGUUCAAAGUGGAUUUUAACCGUUUACCUCAGACGACAGUUUUCAUUUCUAUGGCAUAUUCUAAGGCCAUUUUCUUGUUGUGUUUUGAUGUUUUCCAUUGGCUGAAGACUAAGAUGAGCCUGAAGAGGAGAUUUGGGAAGUCUUUGCUUUGCCAGAUCACCUGUGGUCGAGAUGUUUUCUAACAAGAUGCCUUGUUGGUCUGGGCGAGUUUGAAGUCUCUCAUAGACAGUCCAGAAGGUCUGGAGUCCAUCUUAGCUUUUAUUGAUGCUGUCAUCAGGUUUUAAGUACAGUAUGAGCCAGAAUGGAAGGGUGUUGGUGGCCAUAAGACAGUGAGCUAAACCUACAACAAAAUUCAUAUUUGCAGUUUUCCUGGAAUAUUUGUUUCUAUUCAGAUGAAUAAAAUUACUUUUAAAUAUUAUUUUGUUUUCAUAUUUUAUGUUUUUAUUCUGUAUUUGGAAUAUUCCACUUCUGCACUACUAACUGGAAACCUAACUGUUGGAAAGAAAGAUCAAUUU